rnacentral:rRNA from 1 species
UACAGAGGUCUCAAGCGUUGUUCGGAUUCAUUGGGCGUAAAGGGUGCGUAGGUGGCGCUGUAAGUCAGAUGUGAAAUUUCGGAGCUUAACUCCGAAACUGCAUUGAUACUGCGUGCUUGAGGACUGGAGAGGAGAUGGAAUUACGGUGUAGCAGUGAAAUGCGUAGAUAUCGUGAAGGAAGACCAGUGGCGAAGGCGGGUCUCUGGACAGUUCCUGACGCUGAGGCACGAAGGCCAGGGGAGCAAACGGG